ensembl:misc_RNA Y_RNA Y RNA
GGCUGGUCCGAUGGCAGUGGAUUAUCAGAACUUAUUAACAUUAGUGUCACUAAAGUUGGUGUACGACCCCCCCCCACUGCUAAAUUUGACUGGCUUAAA